AUUGAACGCUGGCGGCAGGCCUAACACAUGCAAGUCGAGCGGAGGGGCGGACGGGUAAGUAAUGCCUAGGUAUCGGACUGGUAGUAGUGGAUAACGUCCGGAAACGGGCGGUAAUACCGCAUACUAUCAGAUUAGCCUAGGUCGGAAUAGUUAGUUGGUGGGGUAAAGGCCUACCAAGGCAACGGUCCGUAACUGGUUUGAGAGGAUGAUCAGUCACACUGGAACUGAGACACGGUCCAGACUCCUACGGGAGGCAGCAGUGGGGAAUAUUGGACAAUGGGCGAAACCCUGAUCCAGCCAUGCCGCGUGUGUGAAGAAGGUCUUCGGAUUGUAAAGUACUUUAAGUAGGGAGGCGUUACCAACAGAAUAAGCACCGGCUAACUUCGUGCCAGCAGCCGCGGUAAUAC
rnacentral:rRNA from 1 species